AGAGUUUGAUCAUGGCUCAGGAUUAACGCUGGCGGUAUGCCUAACACAUGCAAGUCGAACGGAAUACUAAUUAAGAGAAAUCUCACACUAGUGAGAGGUUCUCACGAGUAGUAUUUAGCGGCGGACGGGUGAGUAACACGUUGGAACCUGCCCCGAAGUGGGGAAUAACUGCUCGAAAGAGUAGCUAAUACCCCAUAGUAUCCGGUUUAUCCGGAUUAAAGAUUUAUCGCUUUGGGAGGGGCCUGCGUCUGAUUAGCUAGUUGGUGAGGUAAAAGCUCACCAAGGCGACGAUCAGUAGCUGGUUCGAGAGGAUGACCAGCCACACUGGGACUGAGAUACGGCCCAGACUCCUACGGGAGGCAGCAGUGAGGAAUCUUCCACAAUGGGCGCAAGCCUGAUGGAGCAAUACCGCGUGCAGGAAGACGCUUUUCGGAGUGUAAACUGCUUUUGUCGUCGAAGAUUAUGACUGUAGACGAAGAAUAAGGACCGGCUAACUACGUG
rnacentral:rRNA from 1 species